CCAGGCAAUGUGAUUAUUCACCAGAUGACAGAGGAAAAUAUUGACUAACUUGCUCAAGGUCGUAGUGAGCUAAUGACCAAGCUGGGAUUCAAUGCCCAUCUGACAGAUGUCAAAGUCCUGGAGAGUCUCACUGCACCUUUCUGACUCACUGAACUCACACAGGGCCCUGUUGUGGUGGGGACUGACACGGAAGUGCCCAGGAAGUGAGGAAGUUGGACUUCCAGGAAGGGCAGGAUUAGAGAGGUUUUGGAUGCUGAUAUGCAAAGGGAGUGACAAUGAGCAGCCUUUAAGAAGCCUCCUUGGGUAUCUAGCGUCCAGCCGCUCUUGUCUGGUUCAGGGAGCCAGUGCCGGUGUCAGUCUGUGACGCUGACUGCAGAAGAUACAGCCACACUUGGCCCCAGGCGAAAACUGCAUCACCUGGAGACCUGGCCCCUCUGAGCCACUCCCAGUCACCAGAGGGACUCGGCUCUGACCAUGGAUGACGGCUGGAUGGUAGGACUUGGGCUUUGGCACAGUUCUGACCAAAGGGUCCUGGAUGAGUGUGUUGGAAUCCGCCCACCGAGCUUCUCCUCCUCUUCCUUCUCCUUAGAGUGUGGCAUUUGGAACUGGACACUCAGGCCAAGCUGUCACCUGACGGCUGGCAUCAGAAUUAGUGGGGACUGAACUGCAGCCGGAGACCCCGUGCAAAGCAGGCAGGGUACAAAAACCUAGUGUCCUCGAGGACACAGCAGGAUUCAAAUGAGGAAGGGUAUAAACCAAAGACAUUCCACUCAGAAAAGAAAUAAAGGGGAUGAUAAAUUCCCAAAAUGGUUCUCAGCCUCACUCCCACAAAAAUUCAAACAAUAAAGCACUUUUUAAAUCUUGGUGAAGUUUGGUAACACCAAUCUUUAAGAUAGUGUAGAGACAGCACUCCUUCCCUGUCAGUGGACCACAAGUGAAAACAUCCUUUCUAUAGAGCUUUUCGGAAUCAUCCGUGAUGCAUGUACACUUUGGCCCAGUGGUUGUGUUUUGGGGAGUUUUUCAGAUAGGUGGAGUCACACAAACGCACAAGAUAUCAGGCAAGAAAGUACAUUGCAACAUUUUUCUUACAAUAGCAAAAAACUGGAAGAAUUUUGAUGCCCAUGAAUAGGGAAUAUCAGGCAAACAUUUUUAAAGAUGUACAAACUAUCCUUAGCAAAAGAGUGAAUGGUUGAAUAGCAGAUAUAGUAUGAGCUUUUUGUAUAAAACAACAAAUGCAUACAUGCAUUUGCGCAUCUGUGUGUGUCUUCAUGCUCUGUAUGCUUCUGCAGGGAUGCAAAGGUCUAAAACGUACAUAUAUAAUAAUAAUAGUUGCUAAUAAUAGUGAGACUUAGAGUGGGAAUACUGGUGUGGGAAAGAGUUUUAAAUUUUUACUUUAUCACUUAUAUACAACUUGAAUAUUUUUUAAAUGAAUAUUAUUUCUUUUAUAAUUCAAAUAAGGUUCAAGUAAAUAAUAAGGAAGUUAAAUAAAUAAGAAUAACCGAUACUAGGAAGUGGUGUCAAUAUUCUCUCCAAAGCAUCAAAGGCACUAACAAUAAUCUCAAUAAUAAUAGCACACACUUAGAUAGCCUUCCUUUG
ensembl:lncRNA